AAAUCUCUAACAUGAUAGGGUAUUUAUAAUACUCCUAUCCUACUCCUACUAAGCUAAUAAAAUAAAUAACCAAAUCCUAAUAUACUAAUGAAAUCCUUGACCCAAUUGUACUAGGGUAAGGUUACAAAAUUAUAAUCCAAAUAGAAUGAUGAAACACAUAACCUAAUUGCACUAGGUUAAUGUAUUAUGGCAAAAAUCCAGCUUUGUGUCUGUAAGUCCCAAAGUCUUCAGAAAUGCUGUUUUAGCCCGGGACAGAUUUUCCAUGCAGCAGAUUUAGUCCUUUAUGCGUCCAGCUCCUUUCCAUCUCGUUUGUGAGCUUUCUUUUGCGUC
rnacentral:lncRNA from 1 species